GAGAAACUAAUUAUUGACUCUAAAGAUAACAUGUUAUUGAGUUUUACAUGUCUAGUUCAAAGAAUGAGAGUACUCAAGCAUAUUUCAAAGAAUGAGUGUAAUUAAGCAUAUUUUAAAGAAUGAAGGUACUCAAACAUAUUUAUACAUUCAACCGCACGAGAAUCUGAGCAACUUCAACAUCCACCCUCACGUCUAGCGUGGUUCUGGUUUCAAUUCCCGCAUUGCAAUCCUUAACCCAACUGUGAUACCAUGUUAAAUAGGUUUGAAUCUCAUCCCAAAGUUUAGCUCAAAGAAUGAGGGUACUCAAACAUAUUUUACACUCAAGUCAAUAGCCCUGAAUCCUAAGCAAUGUGAGACAAAUAACAUACUACAAAUAACUUCAAAACCGACUUCAACAACAGUGAUAUAAUCAUUUUAUGUUUUACUAAAUAUUACCUUCGUAAAUAGUAUAUUUAUUACUUUUUUGUUAUCAUUGGAACCAAAAUAUUGUUCAUUAAGUGCCAAUUGAUCCCACAAGCAAUAUAUGAGAGACUAAAAUUCCUAAAUUUCUUGUUAUUAAAAAAUAUGGGAAAUAUGAGAAGGAUUUAGAAACAUGGUAUCAAGGUUAAUUCUGUCAGCAUCUUGUACCAUUGUUCUUCUCUCGCGUGCUAUAGUUUUUUCUUUCUUUCUUUCCUUAUUGGUGUGAUUGAAGCAUGCCUCUUGAUGGCCAAGAGUCAAUUAUUUAUAAAUAGUUAUAAAUGAUUAUAAUUAUUUAUUAUGAGGGAGUCCUUUUGAAAAUCACUCUUACAAAACAUGGAAGAAUAAACCACAUCUAAGAAUUUUUGUUUCAAAUAGUGUAAUAAAGAAAUCUACAAUCUAAGUGAGAAGAAGAAGAACAUUGUGGGUGUAUACAUUUCAAAACUCAAAUAUCCUUGCAACUUUUUAACAUAUGAGAUGCAAUUAUGAUAUUAUAUUCAAGCAUUUGUAAUAUAAUUAUUUUUUUGGUACAAUUUCUAAAGUUAUUAUGUAUAUACUUUUUGGAAAAUUUAUAGGGACUAAAAGCUGAAGGAAAAUUUUAGAGGGACUAAAACAAAAAGUUGACAUAUUUAUAGGGAUCAAAAACAUAAUUAACCCUUAUUUUUUUGCUACAAUUUCUAAAGUUAUUAUGUAUAUACUUUUCCUCUGUUUUUGUUGGUGGACACACACACACUCAUGUAUGUAUAUUUUACUCUUUUUUAACGGAAAAUGUUAAUGAUUAUCCUAAAGAUACUAUUUAAAGACUUUAGAUAUCAACCACGUUGGGAUAUUUCGGACUCCCCUUAAUACCUUUCAUAUCUCUUGGUUUAUCAUGAAAAAAAAAUUAUUCAUAUAUAUUAUUUUAUAAAUAUUUAUCAUAUUGACAUUAAUUACUUUGUUGUCGUUAUCAAAAGUGCUGGAAAACUUUGAUCAACCGUACUUAUAUAUUAAUUUAUUUUUACAGCUACUUAUUUUAAAUCACACGUAUGAUUGGUUACCUGCAUAUUAUAAUACCUUGCCAUAUCAGAUUCCAAUAGCAACCCAGCACCAUAUGUUUGGCUCUAUCUAUAUGCAUACACUGUUUCUUCUACCUUUCCACGUUGCGAAAAGUCGUAUAAUAUAAAAUUUGAGUGGGUUUUUUUUAACUUUAUAUGAAUAGUUGAAAUUACGUCUUCUUAAAUAAUAAUAGUAUCGGUCUUAUGUAUAAGAUCCUCUUAAAAAAAUUAUUAUCCAGUUUUAUAAUAUCCACUUCAAAAUUUAAGAUGUAUUGGUAAAGCUACUCUUAGAAAAAUAUUUUUAAUUAAACCAAGAGAAUUAAAAUAACAAAUCAUAUCUCUUAAAAAUAAUUUUAGAGAAAAUUAUAUAUUAGAAUAAUUCAGUGUAAUAACUACUCCCUUUUUUUCCUUCUUAUGUUUUUUGAUAAACCAGGAGAAAAGACAUGCCUGACACACUAAUAUCCCAACUAGGUUGGCAUUCUGGGAACCACCAUCCUAUACGCCAAUCUCAAAUUUUAUUAAAAAAAGAGGAAACAAUAUAUAUACAAAAAGGGAAGACUAGGUUAAAACUCUCGGAAACAAAAAACAACAAAAUAAAAGCUACCACCAAUUAGGGAAAUCUGCAGUUUAGAAACCACAUCUGUCACGGAAGAAACACCAAUACUUCUCCUCCAAUACCAAGCCGGAGAAGUAAAUUCUUUAAAGUAACUCGAGUGUCGGAGUUACCAAUGCCUCUGACAUUCCAGAAAAAAAUAUUCGAAGUAACUCUUAUGUUCUUCUCAAUGAGAUCUUACAUAUAUGACAAAGGUAGUAACUCUUGUUAUGAAAUAUCAUAGUCAAAGUUCUUAAAAAUUGGUAUUCAACCUUUGAAUAGAAAACCUUUGAAUAUAUAGAAAACCUUCCCAAAGCAACCAGUAACGAAGAGUCCAAUUCAGUGACGACAUCUUCCUAGUGGUUGUUGUUGUACGAUUCCGUACUCCAGGCGUGUGUACAAAAGCAUGGAAAUUUAAAACACGAGUAGUUAUCUAUACGAAAUUGUGAUGUGCAAGUUUCAUUUUCUUGAGAAGAAAAAGUAGCAACUUGUUAAUUCAUUUCGUUAUGUUAGUUCAAUAAAAGAAGAAUACAAGGUUGAAAAUCAUAUCAUUUGAUUAUUAUAAACACAAUAUUAAUCAUAUUAUAUGAUUG
rnacentral:lncRNA from 1 species